rnacentral:rRNA from 1 species
AUUGAACGCUGGCGGCAUGCCUUACACAUGCAAGUCGAACGGCAGCACGGGAGCAAUCCUGGUGGCGAGUGGCGAACGGGUGAGUAAAGUAUCGGAACGUGCCCAGUCGUGGGGGAUAACGUAGCGAAAGUUACGCUAAUACCGCAUACGAUCUAUGGAUGAAAGCGGGGGAUCGCAAGACCUCGCGCGCUUGGAGCGGCCGAUAUCAGAUUAGGUAGUUGGUGGGGUAAAGGCCCACCAAGGCGACGAUCCGUAGCUGGUCUGAGAGGACGACCAGCCACACUGGGACUGAGACACGGCCCAGACUCCUACGGGAGGCAGCAGUGGGGAAUUUUGGACAAUGGGCGCAAGCCUGAUCCAGCCAUGCCGCGUGCAGGAUGAAGGCCUUCGGGUUGUAAACUGCUUUUGUACGGAACGAAAAGGUUUGACUUAAUACGUUGGACUCAUGACGGUACCGUAAGAAUAAGCACCGGCUAACUACGUGCCAGCAGCCGCGGUAAUAC